rnacentral:lncRNA from 1 species
ACUCUCCUAGAUAACGUGGUAUGGGUGGAGACUACCUGUCUGUUUGCUCUUGCUGUAAACCCCUAGCCAGGUUCUGUUGGAAGAGUCAUUUCCCCGAGCCCAGCUUCCCUAAGCUCUUCCCAUGCUGAGCAGGGGAUGGAAACAUAACCCGCUGUGGGGCUAGCGAGCUGACUUCUGGGCAUCCCUCCAUUCCUGCUCAGUUGGUGAUGACUGUUCAGGUGGGGCAGGGCGGAUUAGCUGAUGGCCCAGCACUCUAGAUUAUGAGAUCUGAGUGUAUUAUU